rnacentral:rRNA from 1 species
UACGUAGGGUCCGAGCGUUGUCCGGAAUUAUUGGGCGUAAAGGGCUCGUAGGCGGUUUGUCGCGUCGGGAGUGAAAACACGGGGCUUAACCCCGUGCCUGCUUCCGAUACGGGCAGACUAGAGGUAUGCAGGGGAGAACGGAAUUCCUGGUGUAGCGGUGAAAUGCGCAGAUAUCAGGAGGAACACCGGUGGCGAAGGCGGUUCUCUGGGCAUCACCUGACGCUGAGGAGCGAAAGCGUGGGGAGCGAACAGG